UAAAAGGCGGUGCGUUGAUAGCAUAUCAAUAAGCGGAGGAAAAGAAACCAACAGGGAUUGCCCUAGUAACGGCGAGUGAAGCGGCAACAGCUCAAAUUUGAAAUCUGGCGCAAGCCCGAGUUGUAAUUUGUAGAGGAUGUUUCUGGCGACGCGCCUUCCGAGUUCCCUGGAACGGGACGCCAUAGAGGGUGAGAGCCCCGUACGGUUGGAUGCCUAGCCUCUGUGAAACUCCUUCGACGAGUCGAGUAGUUUGGGAAUGCUGCUCUAAAUGGGAGGUAUACGUCUUCUAAAGCUAAAUACCGGCCAGAGACCGAUAGCGCACAAGUAGAGUGAUCGAAAGAUGAAAAGCACUUUGAAAAGAGGGUUAAAAAGUACGUGAAAUUGUUGAAAGGGAAGCGUUCAUGACCAGACUUGGGCAGGUUGAUCAUCCGUGGUUCUCCGCGGUGCACUCUGCCUGCCCAGGCCAGCAUCAGUUCGCUCCGGGGGAUAAAGGCUCUGGGAAUGUGGCUCCUUCGGGAGUGUUAUAGCCCACUGCGUAAUACCCUGGGGUGGACUGAGGUUCGCGCUCUGCAAGGAUGCUGGCGUAAUGGUCAUCAACGACCCGUCUUGAAACACGGACCAAGGAGUCGUCUUCGUAUGCGAGUGUUCGGGUGUCAAACCCCUACGCGUAAUGAAAGUGAACGUAGGAGAGAGCUUCGGCGCAUCUCCGACCGAUCCUGAUGUUCUCGGAUGGAUUUGAGUAAGAGCAUACGGGGCCGGACCCGAAAGAAGGUGAACUAUGCCUGUAUAGGGUGAAGCCAGAGGAAACUCUGGUGGAGGCUCGCAGCGGUUCUGACGUGCAAAUCGAUCGUCAAAUAUGGGCAUGGGGGGCGAAAGACUAAUCGAACCUUCUAGUAGCUGGUUUCCGCCGAGCUC
rnacentral:rRNA from 1 species